ensembl:lncRNA
GGAAGUGAUCGUUGACGUAUAGUGACGUUGGUUCCCGCUCUUUUUCAAAAUUUGAAUCUGGCAGACGGAGAAAGCGUUUAGCGCUACAUUAGCUCAAUUAAGGAAACAAGCUGUGGACACGGACAUGUCGUGAUGUGAUGAUGGCCAGCAUUUGAGAUGGUCACAGCAUCCUGGGUGCAUUCAUUUGAUAAGAGUUUUCAUUCUGACUGACAUGGGAAAGAUUUCUUGUAGACGACGAUCAAAAAGGAGACGAUCAAACUCCAUACAGAGAGAAAAUGACCAGCAAGGAGUCAUCUCCGAUAACGUGAAACAGGAGAGUGAGAUUUCUGAGCACAGCUUCUCUGAGCCGAGACACAAUGAAAAUGAAUCCGAUGUAUUUUCCAACUCACUGAGCCAGAACACUUCUGCUGUGGAUGGAAGUCAUGUUUUUUUUCCAGUUUUUUCCCAUAGUAACGUAGGACAAGUAACGAUCAACAGCACUUACGCAAUAAAUAACAAGUCACCUGAUACCAGGGAGAGAAAUCCAGAAUCUCAGGCUCAGGAUGGAUCCUCUGACGUUGACGCCUCUGCAACAACUAUUUUAAGGACUCCUAAAAAAUCCAAGAAGUUCAGGAGAAGUCGACGUUCUGCUGCCAGACGAUCUCUCACCCACUUCCGCGGACCACGUGACAUCGUGGGUGAGAUUACUGGAGCUCACGUCACCUCCGAGUAUCACUGCAGUGAUUGCAGAUUCAAAAUUCCUUCCUGGAAACCUUUAUGCUUUAACGUCAAGUGUCCCGGGUGCAAGAUGAGCUGGAAGUGCGAUAAAAUCCAGUGUACUUGCAAAGCUAAAAUAACCCUGGAGCUGCCCAGUGGGCAGACGCAGAGGGUCACGCUGGACGAUUCGCUAAUGCGCUCCAUUGUUAGGUUUAAAACACAGGGCUACUGCAAGACGGAGAGAAUCGAGACGAAGAUUCUGAAGAUUGGGAGCGUGAGAGUGGUGUAUAACGAUGGAGUCUUGAGGAGCGUGAGCAAGAUUUCGUCCAGCUCCAUGUCUCUCCGUGAUAUUCCAGACGCCUUCCCUAGUUUCUGAUUAGGGAUUCUGAAAUCUGGACUCCAGUAUGGUAAUAAAUGUGUAAAAUGUGUAAAAAAAAAAAAAAAAAACCCAAAACAAACAAAUCAAUAAUUUCGAAAGUUACAUCAAUGUUUAUGUGUGGAAAGUUCCUCGUAUUCAGAGUGGGGUUACACACACGUUAAAGCCGAAUACCGGGUCUCUGUAGUUCACGCCUCUGUGGUUGACCAGGACCCUGUCGCCGGUCCACCGGUCCUUUCUUGGACCACUUUUGGUAGAUAUUAACUCGAGAAACACCCAUGUGUCCGCCGAUAAAGGCAAUUUUUCACGUUACCGAUAAAAACAUCCGGUGAUCAGGGCCAAUUAUAUCAUGUCAAUCAAAAGAGGGCGGGAAAACACACUGAUUUUGUGCUGUGUGUAAAGACGAUGUUGAUAGUGUGAUUAAGGUGUGUACAGGUCUGUAAUACAGACCGAUAACGUGAUUAAAACAGGAAUACUCCACACAUCUUAAUUCCAUCUGUGCUUACUUUGAUUAUGACUUUAGUCUGAUUAAGGUCAUCACUGAUCUCUGUUUACAUGCUAGUUUCUUAAUCAGAGUAUCGUCUUAAUCAGGUUGAUAUCAGAGUAUCGUCGUCCGUGUAGACGUACUGACUGUUAUUCACUUCACCUGCCAGUGGUCUUAAUGUUAUGGCUGAUCAAUGUAUAUUUUAUCGUGAACUAUUGUGGUUACAUAAAACUGUCAGACUGUGCUACUGGACAUAAUACUGCUCCUAACUCGAGCCGAUAUCACGCAAGAAAACGC